GAACAUGAAUAAGCUCCAUCACUACAAGUCUACCAAUGAUGAAAAUGUUCUUAUAAACGCAUAGCAAAACACAAACCCAUUGCACAGUUCAAAAUAUAGGCAGAAAACACCCUGUAACCCCAUACAUUGCCUUUAGCAUGGAUGUGCUGUUUGGAAAUGCUUUUGUAGACUGGAGUUGUACCAACACUCCUAUCUUCCGGAAAAGCCAACACAGGUAUGUUAGGUAUAUGAUGGAGAUGGCUGAAACAACACAGCUGCGGUUACCUGAGGUAGGUGAGAGAAAUGCCCACUCAAUCCUCUGUGAGCAGAUCCUCUCUGAUGAGAGACAGCUGGGAAGCACUGUAGUCUCUUCUGGGUCCUACCACUGCUUUUGUUCAAACAAGCUGUUCUUGGACAGCAUGCAACUAUUAGUCAGAUUGUGUCUACCCAGGAUGGGCUUUUGCUGCUUUAAUUAAAAUUGUGAUUCAACUUCUCACAGAGAAGUCUUUGAGUAAAAUUACGUAACAGACUAGAAAACGACCUCUGUAGGAGGGAAGCUGUUAUUCUUCUAUGUUUGUACUUCACAUUUCUCUAUAUUUUGUAAGCCAUUAAUGGCAGUACUGCAUCUGUCAUCAUUCGCAACAUAAAACUCCUUGAUUUACCUUUCAAUGAUUUUUUUUUUAGCAAUUUUUUUUUUUUUUUUAUGUCAGGCCACUUUACUGAGCACUCUAAGGAAACGGGCACUUGAGUGCCUUUGGCAUUCUUCAGAGGACCCAAACCAAGCAGAAACCCAUCUACAUCCUUCUGCUUAUUAAGAGAAAUGUUGAAAUGUUCCUGAGGAGCAACAAGGCAAAAGCCUGCUAUCAGUGACUAACGCAGUUUCCUAAAGGCAUCCUAGCUUGCAGCACUGCCAGACCAACUCUCCUGAUACUCUUCCAUACACAAAGGAUCUUUAAGAAUUACUCCUGUCUUGAAGAAACAGCUGCAGGCUAGAGGAAAAAUUCAUACUCUAUUGAGUUUUCUGGAUGGGAGAGUACACGCUCAUUACAGAUAUACACAGAGGUUAAGAAGAAUAAGCAGGGCCGUUUCAAAGAGAGAAUAGUAACAGUAAUAAUUAACCGGCAAGGUGUUUAGUCAUCUAGAGGAGAUGGGUGUGGAAGACAUUCGACUGCAUUUGAAUCAACUGGGAAAAGCCAGGAAUAGCACCAAUGCAGAGAGAAAGCAGCUGUUUCCCUUAACAGUGCUUUGGGGACCGUGGAUUUCUUGGUGAUCCAAAUGACAAACACUUGCACCUGCACACUUGCAGAACAGAAUCAGAGAUGGACAUUCAAAAG